AUUAUGUUAGGAUGUUUGUUACUCCUUCAUGCCAUAAGGACAACCAGUUUGACAGGGAAUUGCGAUAGUUAACACCAUGAACUAUUAAUACAUACAUAGGUUACUUUUCUCGUAGGUAUUUUAUGUAGAACAUUGCAUGUUAAUGACGGACUGCGCCAUCUAUAUAUGAUUUAGUAAAACAUUUGUUUUGUAAACCACAAUUGACGGUUCUCGGAUUUUUCUUUUACUUAUGCCAAAUAUGACUUUAGGUCAUCGGGAAGUACCCUAUAGGUUUUCUUGACAGACACGACGAAUAACAAAGUGAUCCUAUAAGGGUUCCUUAUUUCCUUUUGAGGUAUGGAACCCUAAAAAACGCGUCGUUUCGCUCUACGUCGCUAUGCUUUGAGCCUAAGAUAUCUGUGGAACUAGAUACCGCCUACUGUGUCAAGUGGCGUGACGUGUACUAUACUAUGACGUCAUUCCAUUGAUUUACCAUACCGUGGUAGAGAUAUAGAAAUGUUCGACACUAACGUAAAAUACAUUUUAAUUAAAUCAAAUAUACAAUAUACAAUGCAAAAUGACAGGUUUCGUCAUUAUAUUAUUUACAAUACGUCAUAAUAUAAACACUUUUUAAAUUUGUCAGUUAGUUUUUCUCAUUAGUUGUUAUUUUAACCAUUGUAUUUUGUUUAGCUAAAAACUGUAAACUUACUCCUAAACUUGGUGAUCAGGAAUUGUCAUUACUUAUUAUGAAUUAUGAAAUAUAAUAAUCCACUAUUAUAACUGCCAUUGUAGGCAAGAAGUAAAGGAGGCGGUCCACUUGUGGUGUACUCUUAUACCCUAUACUAUACCGUGAAAAGCGAAAAAAAAAACUGAGGUCAUUGAAAAUAAAAUAAAUUGAAAAUGAUGAUAAGUAACUUCAAGCCAUAGAGAAUGCAGUAGAUUCGGUUCUAUGUCGAAUGUCAUUUCUGACAAGUGACGUGUUAUUUUUUUUCUCAAAACAUGAGUUCGCCCGCCAUUAUUACGUAUUUUAGCUUAAUUAUGUUGAGAGAAUAAAUAAUGUUACCACUAAAAUUACGAUGAGUUCGUGGAUUUGAUCAAUCGAAAAUGGUAUCAUGUUUUAUUUUAUUACUGGUACAAUACCCAACCCACGCACCAUACAAUUUUGGACUGUCUCCUUUCGGAAAUAGUUUACUUUUUGAUCUUGCUAUUAGUUAUCUUCAUUGAAAUGUUAUAUUUAUUUAGAUUAUUAUUGAUCGUUGUUGACACGUUAUUGAUUAGUCCAAUUGCUGAUUAUAUUUAUUGAUUAUUGAGAAAUAAAAUUGUUUUUGUCUAAUUUUAAAACAAUCCAGUUUGGAGUAAGGUGUCAUUCCGUUGGAUUUUCUCGCUUGUUAUUGUACUGCAGUAAUUACUACAUACAGCUAAUUGUAUAUUUUUAUAAACUUCUCUGUAAAUAUUAUUUUGAUUUGUGUUCGUUUCUCUGCGGCCAGAUCUUUGUACAUUAACCUAGGCUAGUGCACGGAAUGUUGAAAUAAUAUUUAUUAUGAGAACA